GCCACUGACUUGCCCCGGCCGUGCACCGUACGAGUAAUCUGCAAAUGGAUCGGUCCCCGGACCAAUGUCGCGUAUAUACAAUAAUAACAUAAUACACGCGGCGAUUGUGCGUAUCGGGUCGGCGAUAAGGUUCAGCGUUUCUUAAGCUCGCCGACUAAAUUAUUUACCGUCCCCGUGUCCCAUAUUGCGCAGUGUGUCGCGGCUCGUAUUAUCGUUUUACCGCCCGGACGGACCGCCGGCACCUGGUCCACGGUUCGGACACUCGUUACCCGCACG